rnacentral:tRNA from 1 species
GGGGGCGUAGCUCAGAUGUUAGAACGCUCGCUUAGCAUGUGAGAGGUUCGGGGAUUGAUACCCCGCGCCUCAA